rnacentral:lncRNA from 1 species
GGAGAAGCCAGGUGGAGGCUAGAGGCGUGGGCAGUGGAGGGAGGGCAGGCCCCUGCCUCUCCGGCCUCAGCGUCCUUUUCUGCUGUGCGGGCCAGAGAGACCAUCACCCAGCUGCUGCCAUGCAUUGGCCCUGGAGGCUCCCACAGCCCUUGAAGCCUCAGGGCCUCCUCCCUGCUUCCCUGGGCCCAGGCCCUCACUCACCCCUCACCUCCCCUGCCCAGUGCACCCCAACAAAGUGUCAAUGAUGGAGAAGAGCGAGUUGGUGAACGAGACGCGUUGGCAAUACUACGGCACUGCCAACACCUCAGGCAACCUCAGCCUGACCUGGCAUGUCAAGUCGCUGCCCACGCAGACCAUCACCAUCGAACUGUGGGGCUACGAGGAGACAGGAAUGCCCUACUCACAGGAGUGGAC